AAAGCAUUCAAUAUGCUUCAAAUCUAUUAUUAUUAUUUGAAAAAUAAAUACAAAUAUAAAAAUUAUGUUAGGGUAAUAGAGAAUUGUGUUAUAAAGUUGGUAGCGAAUAAAUGUAUUAGUUGGCAGUACUGCUUCUGCAUAGUUGCAAACAAAUAUGGACGCGCACAGUUUCACGAAUAGAUUCUGAUGGAAAAUUGGUCUAUUUCAUUGUAAUAGAAGAAUAUUUGUUACAACUGUAAUAACAUUAAUCAUGGAGUUAGGAUUGUCAAGUACUUUAUUGGCAGGUGAUCCACAUCUUGUCGAUCGUAUUGUUGGUGAAGUUAAAUCGCAGGGUAUUUUUGAUCAAUUUCGUAAAGAAUGCAUAGCUGAUGUUGAUACAAAGCCUGCAUAUCAAAAUCUACGUACAAGAGUUGAGGGAUCUGUUAAUUCAUUUCUCGACAAACAACAGUGGAAACCAGAACUUAAUAAAAAUCAAGUUAGAGAAACAUUGCGUAAACAUAUACACGAAGCACCAUAUUUAGAUGUUGGAGUUGAACGUAUCGUUGAUCAAGUGGUCAAUCCAAAAGUAUUUUCUGUAUUCAUGCCACAAAUAGAGGACGUCGUUUAUAAGUUUUUGGGUUUGGAAAGGCCAAAAAUGAAAGAAAAAUCUAGUGCUUGUGGAUUGAAAGAUUUAUUACCUAAAGAUUUAGAUCCAGUUUCACCAGAAUCUGAUAAGAACAGUUUGAAAGAUGUGUCACUUGAAUCUGUAGAUGCAAUAGAUGAUAUUGUUGUUAAACCAGAUGACAAAUCUGAACAAUCACUCGAUGAACAAAAGUUAGAAAUCGUUGAAAAAUAUUUGGAAAGAAGUAAAGAGCAAGUAUCCGAGGAGAAUGGUCAUACUUCUUCGGAAGAAAAGGUAUUGGGAGAAGAGUGUAUUGAUUUUAAUAAGACUGCUGUUAGUAAUGUAAAUUUAAAUACAUCUGGAAAAUCAGAUGACAAAGUUGAAGAGGAAGAAGAGGAUAGUCCAACCUUUGAACCGAUAGAUAUUAUGAAUUUAAAUGAAUCUAAUAUAUCUAAUGAUUCACAUUUAUCUGGUAUAUCUGAAUUAACAAGUCAUAGAUCAAGAAGUCCUAAUUUCUCCAACGAGGUAUCACAGGAUAAUUAUGAUUGCAGUAAUCAAGAUUCACAACUUAGUAAAGUUUCCUCAGAUUCAAGAUUAUCAAUAGUAACUGAUUUUGGAUUAUCUAAUCAUGCUUCAACACCAAUACACGAUGGCAUUAAAGAAGAACUCGUUAAAGAUAAAUGUGAAAUUAAAACUGCAAAAGAUAACUUUCGUGCUCUUAGAGAAUUUGAAUCUUUUAAGAAUAAAAAUAAUAAAAAUAUCGUCGAAUCGAAAAAAUGUAAAGAAAGUGGGAAUGAUUUGAAAGAUACAAAAGAUACAACAAAAAGUAUUAAACUCAAUUUACCAUCUAAGGAAAAUUCGAGCGAUGCCACGGACAAUAGUACAAAAGAUAAAUACGACAGUAAAAUAUCUAAAGAUAAACAUAAAGAUAGUGAAAUAUCCAAAUCUAAAUCUAAAGACAAAAUCUGUUCGAAGGAGACAAAAUGUAAGGAAAAAGAUAAUGAGAAAAAGAAGCAGAGUAGUAGUAGUAGUAGUCAUAGCAGUUCCAAACAUGAUAAACAUAUUAAAGGUAAGGUUAAGGAUAAACCUAGUCAGUCAAAGGAUACAGUUGACAAAGUGAAAGAUAACAAAGAUACUGUUACAGAUAAUGUCAAUAAAAUGAAAGAAGAUAAAGUUAAGGAAAUGGAUAAAAAGGAAAGUAAUACGAACAAGGAAUCAAAAGAUUUGAAAGAUCUUUAUAAAGAAAAAAUUCGAGAACUCAGAGAGAAGAAAGAAUUAACUGAAAAGGAAAAAUUAAAUAAGGACAAUGUUAAAUCCAAUAAAGAAUCGAGAGAUAAAAAGGAUUCAAGCAAGGAUAAGAAAUCUUACAAGAAAGAACACAGAAGUUCUACUUCCAAAAGUCACGAUGACAAAAGUCGUCAUGAAAACAAAAUCAACAAAGGAUCGUCUGACAAAAUAUCAGAUAUUAAAGACAAAAAAUCUGAAUCUAAGGACAAAACGAAACGUGAUGAACGUAGUUCGAAGGAUAUUAAAGAUAAAAGUAACGUCAUGAAAACGGAAUCUUCGAGUAAAUCAGAAAAAAGUGAUUUAAAGAAAAUGUCGAAGAAUGGUGGUAAGGAUGAAAAAAUGGAAAUAAAAAAAGAUAUUAAAAUUAGUAGCGAUAAAAAUUGUAAGAAAGAUGUACGUACACAAGUACAAAGUAAUAAAACAUCAGACAAAUCUGUAGAUAUUACGAAAAAAGAUUCUAAAAGUGAUGCUCAAAGUAAGGAUAAGAAAAGGAGAGACGAUAAGAAAUCAAAAACAAAGGAUGACCAUUCUAGUCUACGAAAAAAUUCAAAUGAUCGUCGUUCUACUGACAGAGAUGGUUCUAAUGGAUCUAAUAGUAAAAGUUCACAAUCUAGUACUUCUAGUUCUAAUGCUACUACCAGUAAAUCAAGUUCUUCUGGAUUAACUAAAGAUACCAGUCAUAUGAGUAACUCAAGCAGCGAAACAUCAGAUAGCAUAGGUGAAACAGAGAUAAAUAAAAUGAAAUUACAAUUGCAAAAUGAAAAUUACGAUGACAUAAAUAAAGAUAAUAUAAAUCUCACCGAUACAGAAUCUUCCUUUGAUCCUGACAAUAGUUUUGAAGAUGUUCAAUUAACAGAAACACAAUCAAACGAGAAUAAUUUACCAUUAAAAAAAAGACCAUUGUUAGAUGAAAAUGAUUUAAAUUCAUCGAGCGAAAUGAAACUGAAGAAACCUAAAUUUGCAAAGAACAUACACGAAGCUAAAAAAUUAAUGAAAAUAAGAAAACAAAUGGAAAAAUUAAAGCAGAAAGAUGAUAAAAAAAUAGAGAAGAAAGUUGAUCAAAAAACUGAGCUGUGUUUAAAGUUAGAGAACAGUGGAGGAGAUGAUUUGACUGCUGUUCCUGAUGAAGAACGUGUUCAAAUAAUCGAAGUACGAGAUGAAGAAUACGAAGAACCUUACCCAGAUCGUCAAAUGAAUUUAACAUUAGAACAACGUUCAAUGAUAUUGUUAGAAGGUGAACUUCAUGAUACAGAUGGUAACGUGGUACCAAAACAACCUAAAAAGAUACCAAAACUAUCUGCUUUGGAAUUGUGUAUAAAACAAUCCUUAGAUGAAGCAAUAUGUCAUACAAAAUUGCAACAACAAGACGAUGAUGCAGAAUCUCAGGCUCUACCGAUGAAUAAAACUUGUAAAGAUGAUUCAGCUUCAAGUAAUUGUAGUAGUAGUAGUAGUAGUAGUAGUAGUAAAGACAGUUUAGAAAUGAAAACAAAUGAUACAGUAGAAACAUCUGAAACAUUUCUUGAUGCAAGUCAACGUAUAGAAAAAAUAAAGUCAAUAAAUACUAUUACUAAAAAUAGUAAUAAAGUAAGAAAUCAAAUAAGUACAAGUGACACGAAUAUUAGCGUAGAACACAGUGUAAUAAGCAACGAUAGAAAUAAUGACAAUGAGGAGUUUGAACAAGCAAAAUCAUCUCCUAGCAGAGAUAUUACAGAAUAUAAUGAACUCGAUGAACAAUUGCCUGGACAAGCUAAUGCACAGUCUUCCAAGAAUGAAUUUGUACCAAAAGUUAAUGAUGAUUAUGAAGAUUGUAGAUAUUUCAAACUUGAUAACAAAAAAUCGGAUAGAUUUCUUAGUUUUUUUCAUUCAUUAGAAAUGGUUGGAGGUAAUACUCUAGAAGAAAUAAUAGAAGGACUAGGUGGUCAGAUAGUAGUAUCGUCUGGUUCAAAAACAAUGGCCCCACCAAUGCCAAAAAGAAAACAUUCAGGUAGUCCAUUAACAGACAUACUACUCCAUAAUUCAAAUAACAAUAAUGAUGGUCUGAAAAUAUCAAUGCCAAAUGAUAAUCCUUUAAAUGCUAUGAAAAAAAGAAAAAUGAUUGCUUCGAAAAAGCAAAGACUUCAUGCAAAUCCUUGCAUAUCGCAAAGUUUAUUAAAUGGAGAAAAUUUUGUAAUGCCAUUGAGCCCAGAAAGUGAUGUAUCAGCAACUAGCGAAAAAAUUCCAUCGUCUAAUAUAAUGAAAGAAGAAAAAAGUCGAAACAGAAGCAGUCAACGAUAUUCAAGCGAUGACUUGUAUAAACCACGUCCAUUGUUUUCAAGUUCUUCUCGUCGGAGUAGAAGAUUUAAUCAAGUGUAGCUAGUAACUCAUGGCUUCAGAUGUUGAAUCAUAUUGUAACUUCUGUAUAAUGCAGAAUUAUGUCGGAUAUAUCCGGCGCUCAAAGCAAAAAAGGGUCAAAACCGUACAUUUCUGAAUGAGUGAAGUAAAAUAAAAUAAAAAGAAAAGAAGAAAAAAAGGACGGAAAAGUUUUGAAAUUGGUAAUUGUUAUAUUCUAGCUGUUGUUUCGUAUAUUGAAUAUAAAUUAUAUUGAUUUAGGCUUAAUAUAUAUGAAUAAUAUUAAAUGGAAUAUUAACUGUCAUCUAAUUAACCUUUUAUAAAUUUAUAUUCAAUGCGAAUAAAAAAUGCAUUAUAUAAUAAAUUAUGUAUUUGUAUAUGAAAAAUUAAUAUAUCUACUUUGUAGAGAUUACAUGUGAAUUAUUAUGCGAAUAGAAUGCAGCUGCUGGUGUCAAGAAAUAAUCAAAAUCAUAAAUUGUAAAAUGGUAAAUGUAAUAAGUUGAUAUUUGUAAAACAUAAAUAUUAUAUUAUUCUUCAGAAA